rnacentral:rRNA from 1 species
AGAGUUUGAUCAUGGCUCAGGAUGAACGCUGGCGGCGUGCCUAACACAUGCAAGUCGAGCGAUUCUCUUUGGAGAAGAGCGGCGGACGGGUGAGUAACGCGUGGGUAACUUGCCCUGUACACACGGAUAACAUACCGAAAGGUAUGCUAAUACGAGAUAAUAUGCUUUUAUCGCAUGGUAGAAGUAUCAAAGCUUUUGCGGUACAGGAUGGACCCGCGUCUGAUUAGCUAGUUGGUAAGGUAACGGCUUACCAAGGCGACGAUCAGUAGCCGACCUGAGAGGGUGAUCGGCCACAUUGGAACUGAGACACGGUCCAAACUCCUACGGGAGGCAGCAGUGGGGAAUAUUGCACAAUGGGCGAAAGCCUGAUGCAGCAACGCCGCGUGAGCGAUGAAGGCCUUCGGGUCGUAAAGCUCUGUCCUCAAGGAAGAUAAUGACGGUACUUGAGGAGGAAGCCCCGGCUAACUACGUGCCAGCAGCCGCGGUAAUACGUAGGGGGCUAGCGUUAUCCGGAAUUACUGGGCGUAAAGGGUGCGUAGGUGGUUUCUUAAGUCAGAGGUGAAAGGCUACGGCUCAACCGUAGUAAGCCUUUGAAACUGGGAAACUUGAGUGCAGGAGAGGAGAGUGGAAUUCCUAGUGUAGCGGUGAAAUGCGUAGAUAUUAGGAGGAACACCAGUUGCGAAGGCGGCUCUCUGGACUGUAACUGACACUGAGGCACGAAAGCGUGGGGAGCAAACAGGAUUAGAUACCCUGGUAGUCCACGCCGUAAACGAUGAGUACUAGCUGUCGGAGGUUACCCCCUUCGGUGGCGCAGCUAACGCAUUAAGUACUCCGCCUGGGAAGUACGCUCGCAAGAGUGAAACUCAAAGGAAUUGACGG